rnacentral:lncRNA from 1 species
UUAAUGCUUAAUUUGAUUAUUUUUUGUCUUUUAAAAUUAAAUGUUGUAGAGGCACAUGUUUGUCCCUUUAAGUUUCUUACUAUUUUUAAUGCAGUGUUGUAAAUGUUUAUACUAAUCUCUAGUCAUGGUAGUAUUUAGUAAUUUGACUUUUUAACAAUUUUACUUAUACAUUUUGUGUGUAAUUUAUUUUUCUAAUUUUUCUAAUACAAAGAUUUUAUCAAUAAAGUGU